rnacentral:rRNA from 1 species
UACGUAGGGGGCAAGCGUUAUCCGGAUUUACUGGGUGUAAAGGGAGCGCAGACGGAACUGCAAGUCUGAUGUGAAAGCCCGGGGCUCAACCGCGGGACUGCAUUGGAAACUGUAGAUCUGGAGUGCCGGAGGGGCAAGCGGAAUUCCUGGUGUAGCGGUGAAAUGCGUAGAUAUCAGGAGGAACACCGGCGGCGAAGGCGGCCUUGCUGGACGGCAACUGACGUUGAGGCUCGAAAGCGUGGGGAGCAAACAGGAUUAGAUACCACCGUAGU